GAGGGUGUAGCUCAGUUAAUAGAAUAUUUGCCUACCAUGCAUGAAGCUCUGGGUUCAAUCCCCAGCACCCCA
rnacentral:tRNA from 1 species